GACGAACGCUGGCGGCGUGCUUAACACAUGCAAGUCGAACGGUAAGGCCCUUCGGGGUACACGAGUGGCGAACGGGUGAGUAACACGUGGGUGAUCUGCCCUGCACUUCGGGAUAAGCCUGGGAAACUGGGUCUAAUACCGGAUAGGACUCCGGACUGCAUGGUCUGGGGUGGAAAGCUUUUGCGGUGUGGGAUGGGCCCGCGGCCUAUCAGCUUGUUGGUGGGGGGCUGGCCUACCAAGGCGACGACGGGUAGCCGGCCUGAGAGGGUGACCGGCCACACUGGGACUGGGAAAGUGCCCGGACUCCUACGGGAGGCAGCAGUGGGGAAUAUUGCACAAUGGGCGCAAGCCUGAUGCAGCGACGCCGCGUGGGGGAGGACGGCCUUCGGGUUGUACACCUCUUUCAGCAUCGACGAAGCGAAAGUGACGGUAGGUGCAGAAGAAGGACCGGCCAACUACGUGCCAGCCGCCGCCGUAA
rnacentral:rRNA from 1 species